rnacentral:misc_RNA from 1 species
GCAAACUUGGUCAUUUAGAGGAAGUAAAAGUCGUAACAAGGUUUCCGUAGGUGAACCUGCGGAAGGAUCAUUAUUGAAUUAUGUUUCUGGACGGGUUGUAGCUGGCUCUUCGGAGCAGGGUGCACGCCUGUUUAGACUUCAUUUUCAUCCACCUGUGCACCUCUUGUAGUCUUUGGUUGGGAUAGGUAAAGAGGAAGCGGUCAGUCGGUAUUCAUUUGCCGGAUGUGAGGACUUGCAGUGUGAGAGCUCUGCUGUUCUCGGACUCCUGGCCGCAUGAGUCUUUGUUCUGUCCUGCCAGAGUCUAUGUUAUUCAUUAUACCCUAUUGAAUGUCUUUGAAUGUCUUUUUUACAUGGGCUUGUAUAUAUAGCCUAUGAAAAAUUGUAAUACAACUUUCAGCAACGGAUCUCUUGGCUCUCGCAUCGAUGAAGAACGCAGC